ACUGUCUGUGUCCCAACAGGGGCUGGAGAAUCAGGAAAAAGCACCAUUGUGAAGCAGAUGAAGAUCAUCCAUGAAGAUGGCUUCUCCGGAGAAGACGUGAAACAGUACAAGCCUGUUGUCUACAGCAACACCAUCCAGUCCCUGGCAGCCAUCGUCCGGGCCAUGGACACUUUGGGCAUCGAAUAUGGUGAUAAGGAGAGAAAGGCUGACGCCAAGAUGGUGUGUGAUGUGGUGAGUCGGAUGGAAGACACCGAGCCCUUCUCUGCAGAGCUGCUUUCUGCCAUGAUGCGGCUCUGGGGCGACUCAGGAAUCCAAGAGUGCUUCAACCGGUCCCGGGAGUAUCAGCUCAACGACUCUGCCAAAUACUACCUGGACAGCCUGGAUCGGAUUGGGGCCGCCGACUACCAGCCCACCGAGCAGGACAUCCUCCGAACCAGGGUCAAAACCACUGGCAUCGUAGAAACCCACUUCACAUUCAAGAACCUCCACUUCAGGCUGUUUGACGUCGGAGGCCAGCGAUCUGAACGCAAGAAGUGGAUCCAUUGCUUCGAGGACGUCACGGCCAUCAUUUUCUGUGUCGCGCUCAGCGGCUAUGACCAGGUGCUCCACGAAGACGAAACCACGAACCGCAUGCACGAGUCUCUCAUGCUCUUCGACUCCAUCUGUAACAACAAGUUCUUCAUCGAUACCUCCAUCAUUCUCUUCCUCAACAAGAAAGAUCUCUUUGGCGAGAAGAUCAAGAAGUCACCUUUGACCAUCUGCUUUCCUGAAUACACAGGCCCCAAUACCUAUGAAGACGCAGCCGCCUACAUCCAAGCACAAUUUGAAAGCAAAAACCGCUCACCCAACAAAGAAAUAUAUUGUCACAUGACUUGUGCCACAGACACGAAUAACAUCCAGGUGGUGUUCGACGCCGUCACCGACAUCAUCAUUGCCAACAACCUCCGGGGCUGCGGCUUGUACUGACCUCUUGUCCUGUAUAGCAACCUAUUUGGUAAUGAUUCCAGCACCCACAGAACAGCUUGCGUGCGCGUGCAUACACACACACACACACACACACACACA
rnacentral:sRNA from 1 species